AGUGAACGCUGGCGGUAGGCCUAACACAUGCAAGUCGAACGGCAGCACAGUAAGAGCUUGCUCUUACGGGUGGCGAGUGGCGGACGGGUGAGGAAUACAUCGGAAUCUACUUUUUCGUGGGGGAUAACGUGGGGAAACUUACGCUAAUACCGCAUACGACCUACGGGUGAAAGCAGGGGAUCUUCGGACCUUGCGCGAUUGAAUGAGCCGAUGUCGGAUUAGCUAGUUGGCGGGGUAAAGGCCCACCAAGGCGACGAUCCGUAGCUGGGCUGAGAGGAUGAUCAGCCACACUGGAACUGAGACACGGUCCAGACUCCUACGGGAGGCAGCAGUGGGGAAUAUUGGACAAAGGGCGCAAGCCUGAUCCAGCCAUACCGCGUGGGUGAAGAAGGCCUUCGGGUUGUAAAGCCCUUUUGUUGGGAAAGAAAAGCAGCAGGUUAAUACCCCGCCGUUCUGACGGUACCCAAAGAAUAAGCACCGGCUAACUUCGUG
rnacentral:rRNA from 1 species